AUUGAACGCUGGCGGCAUGCCUUACACAUGCAAGUCGAACGGUAACGGGCCUUCGGGUGCCGACGAGUGGCGAACGGGUGAGUAAUACAUCGGAACGUGCCCGAUCGUGGGGGUUAACGAGGCGAAAGCUUUGCUAAUACCGCAUACGAUCUACGGAUGAAAGCAGGGGACCGCAAGGCCUUGCGCGGACGGAGCGGCCGAUGGCAGAUUAGGUAGUUGGUGGGAUAAAAGCUUACCAAGCCGACGAUCUGUAGCUGGUCUGAGAGGAUGAUCAGCCACACUGGGACUGAGACACGGCCCAGACUCCUAAGGGAGGCAGCAGUGGGGAAUUUUGGACAAUGGGCGCAAGCCUGAUCCAGCCAUGCCGCGUGCAGGAUGAAGGCCUUCGGGUUGUAAACUGCUUUUGUACGGAACGAAAAGCCUUCUUUUAAUACAGGAGGGUCAUGACGGUACCGUAAGAAUAAGCACCGGCUAACUACGUG
rnacentral:rRNA from 1 species